CCGCCAGGGUAAGGCUUCGUCUGCAAUAUGCAGGUGACUCUGGCAGGUGGCAGUGUUUUCAUAAGCAAUUUGAUCGAUGUUCCGAGAGUCCCCUUGGAGUCCGGUUAGAGGCCCUGGCGAGGCGCCUCUCUCCCUGCUGCCUAAGGAAGCCGUCAGCAGCUGUCGUGUCCCCCGUGCAGGACCACGCGGACAUCGAGUGGAAGUUCGCCCGCACCAAGCUCUGGAUGAGCUACUUCGAGGAAGGCGGCACGCUGCCCACCCCGUUCAACGUCAUCCCCAGCCCCAAGUCCCUCUGGUACCUCGUCAAGUGGCUGUGGACCCACCUGUGCAAGAAGAAGAUGCGGAGGAAGCCAGAAAGCUUUGGAACGAUCGGGAGGCGAGCUGCUGAUAAUUUGAGACGACAUCAUCAAUAUCAAGAGGUCAUGAGGAACCUGGUGAAGCGCUACGUGGCCGCCAUGAUUAGAGACGCCAAGACGGAAGAAGGCCUUACGGAGGAGAACUUCAAGGUAACCGUCCAUCUGCAUUAGAGACCAGAGCAGCUGCAGGGGAGGGAGCCCAGAGCACCCAUUUAAUACAG
rnacentral:lncRNA from 1 species